rnacentral:rRNA from 1 species
UACAGAGGUCCCCAAGCGUUGUUCGGAUUCACUGGGCGUAAAGGGUGCGUAGGCGGUCGGGGUAAGUCUGAUGUGAAAUCUCACAGCUUAACUGUGAAACUGCAUUGGAUACUAUCCGGCUCGAGGAAUGGAGGGGAGACUGGAAUACUUGGUGUAGCAGUGAAAUGCGUAGAUAUCAAGUGGAACACCAGUGGCGAAGGCGAGUCUCUGGACAUUUCCUGACGCUGAGGCACGAAAGCCAGGGGAGCAAACGGG